rnacentral:misc_RNA from 1 species
GAUGAAGACGUAGCGAAAUGCGAUAAUUGAUGUGAAUUGCAGAAUUCCGUGAAUCAUCGAGUCUUUGAACGCACAUUGCGCCUCAUGGCAUUCCAUGAGGCAUGCCCAUCUCAGCGUUAGAAAAUAUUCUCAAAUUUUAGUUUUGUGCUAAAAUUUGGAUCAUGUCAAGGAAGCUAUUACUAUUAUUGUGAUCGCUCUUUGGAAAUUGAUAGGUCUUUGAGUUGCUACUCAUAGAACGUGAUGAAUCUUUCUUCGUUCUAUUGUAAUUCACUCUGGUAGUCCUAAAACUUGUAUGCCUGUGGCAUAUCUUGUAAUUUGACCUGAGAUUGGGUAGGGAUACCCGCUGAACUUAAGCAUAUCAAUAAGCGGAGGA